rnacentral:rRNA from 1 species
UACGUAGGGUGCGAGCGUUAAUCGGAAUUACUGGGCGUAAAGCGUGCGCAGGCGGUAAGUUAAGUCUGAUGUGAAAGCCCCGGGCUCAACCUGGGAAUGGCAUUGGAAACUGGCUUGCUAGAGUGUGGCAGAGGGGGGUGGAAUUCCGCGUGUAGCAGUGAAAUGCGUAGAGAUGCGGAGGAACACCGAUGGCGAAGGCAGCCCCCUGGGCCGACACUGACGCUCAGGCACGAAAGCGUGGGGAGCGAACGGG